rnacentral:rRNA from 1 species
CCUACGGGAGGCAGCAGUGGGGAAUAUUGCACAAUGGGGUAAACCCUGAUGCAGCGAAGCCGCGUGAGUGAAGAAGUCUUUCGGUACGUAAAGCUCUAUCAGCCGGGAAGAAAAUGACGGUACCUGACUCAGAAGCGCCGGAUCACUACGUGCCACCAGCCGCGGUAAUACGUAGGGGGCAAGCGUUAUCCGGAUUUACUGGGUGUAAAGGGAGGGUAGACGGCAGCGCAGGUCUGGAGUGAAAUGCCAUGGCUUAACCAUGGAACUGCUUUGGAAACUGUGCAGCUGGAGUGCAGGAGAGGUAAGCGGAAUGCCUGGUGUAGCGGUGAAAUGCGUAGAUAUUAGGAUGAACUCCAGUGGCGAAGGCAGCGUACUGGACUGUAACUGACGUUGAGGCUCGAAAGCGUGGGGAGCAAAUAGGAUUAGAUACCCGGGUAGUA